CUCAGAAUUCCAAAAAAACUUAAAAUUGCGAGAUAUAAACUAAGAAUUCCGAAAAAAAGUGCGAGAGAUAAACCAAGAAUUCCGGAAAAAAAGUUACAAUUGCAAGAUAUAAACUCAGAAUUCCAAAAAAAAAAGUCAGUUACGAGAUAUAAACUAAGAAUUCCGAGAAGAAAAAAAAAAAAGUUAAAAUUGCGAGAUAUAAGCUCAGAACUCCCAAAAAAGUCAAAGUUGCGAGAUAUAAACUAAGAAUUACAGAAAAAAAGUUAAAAUUGUGAGAUAUAAAAUCAGAAUUCCGAAAAAAGUCAAAAUUGCUACAAGUAACCUCAGAAUGACAAAAAAGUCAAUUCUGAGAAAAAAAGUCGCAAUAACCUUUUUUUAAUCUUUUUUUAUUCCGUGACGGAAAUGAGCUUCCAUACAAGUCGGAUGUAAUGGAAGGGAGAAUCUUCUCUGUCAUUUAAGCAGCACAUUUUACUAUUGUAGCACGGAGUAGGCGCUAUUCCUUACACCUGCUAUGCCUCUUGCUAAAUUUUGCACAUUUACAGGUUGAUUUUAGCUCGCUGGAGGGACCAUUUUCAAGAAGUCGGGAUCACCGAGAGCCAAUGUGAAGUGUGUUUUUAAGGUUUUGUCAUGCAGACUUCUCAAAAGGACAAUGUCAUAUCAUUUCUAGUGACGUCUGUCAAUCAGUUAGAUUCUUGCCAUUAAGCAAAUCAGUGCAAACAUGCAUUAACAAACAUUUCUGACUGCUCCUGUAGAGAAGAAAACAAAAUCAAUGGAUAUCACAUAUACCGUCAGUCAUUACAGUUCAAAUUGUCACCAAAACCAGUUUCUCAAGCAAGUUCUGCAAUGUUUUGAGUUUCUUUGGUGAUCCUGACAGUGAACUUGCACCUUAAGGAUGGAUUAUUUUCUCGCAAGCUCCUAUUUAACGCAUCUAAAUACUCAAACCAACUGGGACAGCAUUAAAAUUGUUGGAGAAGUUUGUGACGAACCAUAUUUGAGGACACUGAGUCUUUCUAGAAGUCUGCGAGGAGGAAUAACACUACGCAAACUGGUCUUUUAGGUGAUUGUACUGGUUUAAAUGUGGUUUGGCUGCUUUAGUGAUCCCGGCAUGGACGUUUCUUCUCCUAGAGGCAGAUCUUUGCUUGUAUUUUAGACAAAGGCCAAGCUAAUGAACUCUUAUAUGAUCAUUCCCACCGAAUUACAGAACACUACUUGAUAAAAACAGUGUUUUAGCCCUGGCGGUAUGUAUGCUUAACACUUAGUUCUCAUUUUUUUAUGUCAUUUUGUAGCUUUAAGUGUUUUUUUAAAUCUCAGAUAUUUUGGGAUUUAUGUUUUGUACGGCUGUAGCAUUGUGAUUGUCUUUUGCUGUUAACUGGAGAAAUGCAAACGGACCAAUUAGUGGAUGUUGGCACGUUUUGUGUAUUUCUAUUGUGCGCUUUAUAAACUACUGCUUAAACAAUGCCGUCCAUUAGGUUCAUCUUUUCUCUUUUUUUGCAAAUGCAUUCAGUUCUGAAGGAUCUUUUGUUUUUUGUGAAUCCUAACAGAUGACGGCAUCCAAGAGCGUCCCGCCUCAUCGACGUAUGAAAGUGGAUGAUUUCGGUGUAACUUCCACUCCUCCACACGAUUAUCUUCCACUGCAUGUGUUUUCAUUUAGCUGGUGAUGUGGCCAACAAUAUCACAAUAUCCAGUUUGUAUAUGGGAAUCUGUUAUUAAAACAUCAAAUACU